CCAAUAGCGUAUAUUAAAGUUGUUGCAGUUAAAAAGCUCGUAGUUGAACUUCAGGCCUGUCCAGACGGUCCGCCUUAAUUGGUGUGUACUGUCCUUGGGUGGGUCCUACCUUCUGGCGAAGCGGCAUGGCCUUAAUUGGUUGUGUCGGGGAACCAGGACUUUUACUGUGAAAAAAUUAGAGUGUUCAAAGCAGGCAAAUA
rnacentral:rRNA from 1 species